CGCCAGAGCCGAUGGUAUUGCCGUAACAGGUGGGAGAGUAGGUCGGUGCCUUUU
rnacentral:rRNA from 1 species